AAAGUCAAAUUACAAGCAACCUUUUGAAUGUUCAUACAAUAUCACUUUCCUUUUUCUUUUCAAUAUAGGAAUUAGGCUCACCAAGAGCCCAAUCCUAAUAUAUUUAGGAAAGAUAUAGAAAUUUGAAUUAUAAAUAGGAAUCAGACUUUCCUUUCCUUUCCAGGAAUAAAAAUUACGGUUAAACACUAUAUAAUCCGUAACAUGCUUGAGGAAUAAUCAAGCAAUUUAUUCCAACAUCAUUCUUUUCUCAAUAGGAAUUUUAGAGAUGGAUCUGGAAUAUGAGAAGCAGAAAACUAUAAUCCAUGAAACUAAGGAAGCAGUUGAGAAGAUCGUAAAUAUGCGGUUGAGUAAUGUUCCAACACAAUCUCGAGAGUUCAAGUUUAUUAAGUACAAACCUAAUUCCAAGCAAUCUGCCGCAGCUUUUAAGGAGAGGAUUAUUAAGAUGGUGGAGAUGGCCGUGGAUCCAGUGGAGCCGCCCAAAUUCAAGCACAAGAAGAUCCCUAGAGCCGCCUCUGGUUCACCACCUGUGCCCGUUAUGCAUUCUCCUCCACGUCCUGUUACCGUGAAAGAUCAACAGGAUUGGAAGAUUCCGCCUUGUAUAUCAAACUGGAAGAAUCCCAAAGGUUACACAAUCCCACUUGAUAAGCGUCUUGUUGCUGUUAAUGAGGCCGUAAAGAUCAAUGAUAAUUUCGCAAAAAUAUCAGAGGCUCUAUAUGUUGCAGAAGAGAAAGCCAGACAAGCCGCUGCAAUGCGGGAAAAGAUUCAGAGAGAGAUGAUAAUGAAAGAGGAGGAAAGAAAAGAGAUGCAACUUCAGGAGUUGGCUCGCAAGGCAAGAACUGACAGAACUACUGUUGUGGAUUAUGAUAGUGCAACAGAAGAAGCGCGAUUAAAGAGAAAGAAAAUAUGUGAGGAGAGACGUCGGGAGAGGAGAUUCGAGGCAAAAGAUGCUAAAAAGAGUAAGAUAAGCAGAGAUAGAGACGGUGAGGUUAGCGAAAAAGUGGCUCUUGGGAUGGCUUCUAGUACUAGAAAAUCAAGAGGAGAGGAAGUUAUGUAUGACCAGAGAUUGUUCAACCAGGAAAAAGGGAUGGAUUCUGGAUUUGGAUUUGCCAAUGAUGAUGCCUACAAUGUAUAUGAUAAAGGCUUAUUUACUACUCAGCCUACUCUUUCUACUCUAUACAAACCCAAGAAAGACAAUGUUGAUUCCGAUAUGUAUGGAGUUGCUGAUGAGCAAAUCGUCAACACACAUCGGUUUAAGCCUGACAAGGCAUUUGCUGGAACAUAUGAGAGGGCUGGUCCAAGUGUGGAAUUUGACAAGGAAGCUGAUCCAUUUGGUUUGGACCAGUUCUUUAAUGAAACCAUGGCAAAUAUUGGGGUAGUGGAGGAACCAUGAAGACCAGUCAAGGGCUGCUUUUAAUACCAACUUGGCAAUGUAAGAGCUUUAGAAUGCUUGCUGGUGACGCUCGGAUUACCCCAGAUGUGUUACUUUUGGCUGAGGUUGCCAGAGCUAUUAUUGAAUCCUAAGGACAAGGCAAAGGCGCACCUAACAUAUCCUAAGUGGCAGUCGGUUUUAAUGCCUAUUCAUGGGUUCUUGACCUUAAAUGUUGUACACAAUCAUAUGUUUAAAAGACCUUUCCACUAUAUUAUAACGAAAGUCGUAAAAAAAGUAGCCACGGGCAAAGAAAUCAGGAUUGGACAAGAAUAAAUUUGCAAUUUGCUAAACUCAACAAUCAUCUUGUUGUAAAUUGGCAAUACACAGUCUAAUCGUCUGGUUCUAAACAUUAUAUGGAAAACUCUAACCACUCAGGCACUCAUGACUCUCACCAAUGUACCAUGGGUCACAAAAGAGAAACUAAAAGCACAAAUGAAGGCAUUUAUUACUUCUCUGGAAGCAAAUUUGUGAACAAGAAAUAGAGAAUAACGUAUCAUGUA